rnacentral:rRNA from 1 species
AUACGGAAGGUCCGGGCGUUAUCCGGAUUUAUUGGGUUUAAAGGGAGCGCAGGCGGGUUAUUAAGCGUGACGUGAAAUGUAGCCGCUCAACGGCUGAACUGCGUCGCGAACUGGUAGUCUUGAGUGAGUACGACGCGGACGGAAUUCGUGGUGUAGCGGUGAAAUGCUUAGAUAUCACGAAGAACUCCGAUUGCGAAGGCAGUCCGCGAGUCCUUUACUGACGCUAAAGCUCGAAGGUGCGGGUAUCGAACAGGAUUAGAUACCCUGGUAGUCCGCACGGUAAACGAUGGAUGCCCGCUGUUGGCGAUACAUUGUCAGCGGCCAAGCGAAAGCGUUAAGCAUCCCACCUGGGGAGUACGCCGGCAACGGUGAAACUUAAAGGAAUUGACGGGG